rnacentral:rRNA from 1 species
CAGCGUCACGAGUGGCAACCAUAUUUAUUGGGCCUAAAGCGUCCGUAGCCGGUUUGAUAAGUCUUUUGUGAAAUCGUUGAGCUUAACUUAACGCUGUGCAAGAGAUACUGUCAGACUUGGAAUUGGGAAGAGUCAGAGGUAUUCUGGGGGGAGCGGUAAAAUGCUAUAAUCCUCGGAGGACCACCAGUGGCGAAAGCGUCUGACUAGAACAAAUUCGACGGUGAGGGACGAAAGCCAGGGGAGCGAACCGGAUUAGAUACCCGAGUAGUCC